rnacentral:rRNA from 1 species
AUGAGUCCUGUGCAGGUCCGGGAGCAGUAUCUGACGCUGGGGCUCAAGUUCAACGCCAAGGGCGCCAUAGAGUGCUACAAGGGGGAGAUGGAGGUGCUCCUGGAGUCCCGGGCGCGCUGCCGGGAGACCGCCUUCAACAUGAUCGACGGCGAUUUCAAGGUCUUCCAGGGCAAAUGGUCUGUCCAGGAGGUCGAUGCUACUACUGACGAAGGUGGGGAAGUUCCGAUUAGCCAGGAAUUUCAGACUAUGCUUUCUUAUGUGGUGGAGCUGGAGCCUAAGCUCUGGGUUCCAGUUAGGCUACUGGAGGGAAGGAUCUGCAAAGAGAUCAAAACCAACCUUGUUUGUAUCAGAGAAGAAGCAGAGAGGGUCCAAAGAUUACAGGGGGGCUAG